GGAUGCGAUGAUACCAGCACUAAAGCACCGGAUACCAUCAGAACUCCGAAGUUAAGCGUGCUUGGGCGAGAGUAGUACUAGGAUGGGUGACCUCCUGGGAGGUCCUCGUGUUGCAUUCC
rnacentral:rRNA from 1 species